CUGGGAGAGAUCGUUGACGAUAUGUGACUCAGCACUCACUCAGCCAACGUACUUCUCAGGGCCGCCGCAAGUGCAUGUUUCUCCCUAUUUGCUUUUAUACGCCACCGAUUCAUUUAAUCUUAAACUCGUCAAAUGCAGACGUCUGACGCACCGAACUUAUUAUUGUUGUUCACGUGAUUUUCUGUUUCGCAAAUAUUCGUGGUUUUUGUUGCGCACUUCGUUCCCGAAGAAAACUGAAAAGUAACAUUAUGAUAGUUGCAAUACGAUACAUUGGAAAAUAUCAGUAUAAUUUUAAUUUUAAAGAAUUAAGAUUCUUCGAAGAAAUGUCGAGGGACGAGGUAACAUUCCCACCGAGUAUAAAUGUGAAAAAAAAAGAUGAAAUUCCGGUCGAAUAUGUCACUUUAUUGGGACAAUGAUGUCAUUCGCGGCAAAUCCUCCGUUUCAAGCAUGAUCACUCUUCAAAUUGUGAAAUGUACACCGCGUUAAGAGAAAUCAACUAGCCAGUGAUGAGGACUGGCUGGAGACACUAGUAAUUUCAAAUAU